rnacentral:rRNA from 1 species
GAUGAACGCUGGCGGCGUGCCUAAUACAUGCAAGUCGAGCGAACGGACGAGAAGCUUGCUUUUCUGAUGUUAGCGGCGGACGGGUGAGUAACACGUGGAUAACCUACCUAUAAGACUGGGAUAACUUCGGGAAACCGGAGCUAAUACCGGAUAAUCUUUUGAACCGCAUGGUUCAAAAGUGAAAGACGGUCUUGCUGUCACUUAUCGAUGGAUCCGCGCUGCAUUAGCUAGUUGGUAAGGUAACGGCUUACCAAGGCAACGAUGCAUAGCCGACCUGAGAGGGUGAUCGGCCACACGGGAACUGAGACACGGUCCAGACUCCUACGGGAGGCAGCAGUAGGGAAUCUUCCGCAAUGGGCGAAAGCCUGACGGAGCAACGCCGCGUGAGUGAUGAAGGUCUUCGGAUCGUAAAACUCUGUUAUUAGGGAAGAACAUAUGUGUAAGUAACUGUGCACAUCUUGACGGUACCUAAUCAGAAAGCCACGGCUAACUACGUG